AUACGGAGGGUGCAAGCGUUGUCCGGAUUUAUUGGGUUUAAAGGGUGCGUAGGUGGUUUUUUAAGUCAGUGGUGAAAGCCUACAGCUUAACUGUAGAGGUGCCAUUGAUACUGGGGAACUUGAGUAUGGACGAGGUAGGCGGAAUUUGUGGUGUAGCGGUGAAAUGCAUAGAUACCACAAGGAACACUGAUAGCGAAGGCAGCUUACUGGGCCAUAACUGACACUGAGGCACGAAAGCGUGGGGAGCGAACAGGAUUAGAAACCCCAGUAGUCC
rnacentral:rRNA from 1 species